AUUGAACGCUGGCGGCAUGCCUUACACAUGCAAGUCGAACGGCAGCACGGGAGCAAUCCUGGUGGCGAGUGGCGAACGGGUGAGUAAUAUAUCGGAACGUGCCCAGUCGUGGGGGAUAACGCAGCGAAAGCUGUGCUAAUACCGCAUACGAUCUCUGGAUGAAAGCGGGGGACUCGCAAGGGCCUCGCGCGAUUGGAGCGGCCGAUAUCAGAUUAGCUAGUUGGCGGGGUAAAGGCCCACCAAGGCGACGAUCUGUAGCUGGUCUGAGAGGACGACCAGCCACACUGGAACUGAGACACGGUCCAGACUCCUACGGGAGGCAGC
rnacentral:rRNA from 1 species